rnacentral:rRNA from 1 species
UACGUAGGGUGCGAGCGUUAAUCGGAAUUACUGGGCGUAAAGGGCGCGUAGGCGGUCUACUAAGUUGGAUGUGAAAACUCUGGGCUUAACCCAGAGCCUGCAUUCAAAACUGAUAGGCUAGAGUUCUGGAGGGGAUAGCGGAAUUCCUGGUGUAGCGGUGAAAUGCGUAGAUAUCAGGAGGAACACCGGUGGCGAAGGCGGCUAUCUGGACAGAAACUGACGCUGAGGCGCGAAAGCUAGGGGAGCAAACAGG